rnacentral:rRNA from 1 species
UACAGAGGUCUCAAGCGUUGUUCGGAUUCAUUGGGCGUAAAGGGUGCGUAGGCGGCGCGGUAAGUCAGGUGUGAAAUCUCGGAGCUUAACUCCGAAACUGCAUUCGAUACUGCCGUGCUUGAGGACUGGAGAGGAGAUUGGAAAUUCACGGUGUAGCAGUGAAAAUGCGUAGAUAUCGUGAGGAAGACCGUGGCGAAGGCG